rnacentral:rRNA from 1 species
GACGAACGCUGGCGGCGUGCGUAACACAUGCAAGUCGAACGAGAGAGUGAGAGAAGCUUGCUUUUCUUACGAUCGAGUGGCAAACGGGUGAGUAACGCGUAAACAACCUGCCCCGCAGAUGGGGACAACAGCUGGAAACGGCUGCUAAUACCGAAUACGGUCCUCUUAGCGCAUGGUAAGAGGAAGAAAGGGUGGCCUCUGGAACAAGCUACCGCUGUGGGAGGGGUUUGCGUCUGAUUAGCUGGUUGGAGGGGUAACGGCCCACCAAGGCGACGAUCAGUAGCCGGUCUGAGAGGAUGAACGGCCACAUUGGAACUGAGACACGGUCCAGACUCCUACGGGAGGCAGCAGUGGGGAAUCUUCCGCAAUGGGCGAAAGCCUGACGGAGCAACGCCGCGUGAGUGAAGACGGCCUUCGGGUUGUAAAGCUCUGUUAUAGGGGACGAACGGCCGGGUAGCGAAGAGGUAGCCGGCA